rnacentral:lncRNA from 1 species
GAGUCAGGAACAUAAACUUUAAAAAGGAGUAUGUUUUUGAACAGCUAGCUUCAAGCCAAAACUGAUAGUGAGUCACUGUUUUUAGAAAUGGUCUCGUUGCAGACUUGGCUCAUCCUAUGAGUAGAGGAAGUCAUUUGUCCCUGUGCUCAAAAGGAAGCCAGAGGUAGUAUACAAUUUAAGAGAAAAUAUUUUUCCUUUAAGUGUGCUUCUUUCUGUAGAGCUUUAUAUAGGAAACUGUGACUAACUGUGUGGUCUGUUGCAAUUAACCAGGGCAGGGCGUGGGCCAGUCUGUCUGUCUGUCACCAGUUGGAUGGCACCAGAAUAUAACUUUGAGAUACACAGC